AUAUGAAGAGAAACUGAAUCCGUCAUAACAAAACCUCUGGUCAGUAUGGAACAUAACUAUGUUAGUCCAUUUUUCUACACUGCAAGGAUGGCACCGCCUCAGUAGGACAUUGCGUUGCUCAUACCGGUCAAGAGGAGCCACCUGAGCACAUUGUAGCGUUUUACCUUUUACGAUCGUUCGCACCUCACGGUUAGCAUUAGCCACUUGCUAACGAGGACGAGCUGGCUCACCUGGCCGCUAUUGCGUCGGCAGCACUACGGUCCUCCCUGGUCGGGCGGCGUGGGGGUGUGGAAAUAACAGCAUGCGACAAGUUCAGGCCCCCACAGCGCCCGCGUUCAGAUUCAAACCCAACCGAAGAUUUUUGCAGAGACCUGCAAAUAGUGGUACAGUGAUGCUCCCCAUCCAGUCUUCUGCAGAGAGGAAUGAGAGAAGAUCCCCAAAUCCAGACAGAAGAGGGACCUGAAUGUCUGACCUUUAGGAGACCCUGGCCUAGAGGACUGUUUCAGUUUAUAAACGACAUCAGAGACAUAAUGACCAACAUGAAGAGGCCCACAAGAGGAGACAGAUGGACACAAAUCUUGAUUGUUCACAACACCAAUUUGUCAUCAUCAGCACCAUCAGCAUCAUCAGGAAAACCAGACAAAAUCACUGGUUUUUGCAACAUCAGCAUAAUCAACCAUUGGUUUGGACAUAAUCAAUAAAUGUUGAUCAGUCAAUCAAUAAGUCAAUCAAUCAAACAAUCAAUCAACCAAUCAACCGUCAUGUUCACUCAGA